UACGUAGGGGGCAACCGUUGUCCGGAUUUAUUGGGCGUAAAGAGCGCGCAGGCGGCCGUUCAGGUCAGCUGUGAAAACUCGAGGCUCAACCUCGAGACGUCGGUUGAAACCGUACGGCUAGAGUCCGGAAGAGGAGAGUGGAAUUCCCGGUGUAGCGGUGAAAUGCGCAGAUAUCGGGAAGAACACCCGUGGCGAAGGCGGCUCUCUGGGACGGUACUGACGCUGAGGCGCGAAAGCGUGGGGAGCGAACAGG
rnacentral:rRNA from 1 species